ACGAACGGGGCUAAUACCGGAUAACACAUGAAACCGCAUGGUUUCAUGAUGAAAGACGGUUUUGCUGUCACUUAUAGAUGGACCCGCGGCGUAUUAGCUAGUUGGUAAGGUAACGGCUUACCAAGGCAACGAUACGUAGCCGACCUGAGAGGGUGAUCGGCCACACUGGAACUGAGACACGGUCCAG
rnacentral:rRNA from 1 species